GCUGGCGGCGUGCCUAACACAUGCAAGUCGAGCGAUCUUCUUCGGAAGAGAGCGGCGGACGGGUGAGUAACGCGUGGGUAACCUGCCCUGUACACACGGAUAACAUACCGAAAGGUAUGCUAAUACGGGAUAACAUAAGAAAGUCGCAUGGAUUUCUUAUCAAAGCUUUUGCGGUACAGGAUGGACCCGCGUCUGAUUAGCUAGUUGGUAAGGUAACGGCUUACCAAGGCGACGAUCAGUAGCCGACCUGAGAGGGUGAUCGGCCACAUUGGAACUGAGACACGGUCCAAACUCCUACGGGAGGCAGCAGUGGGGAAUAUUGCACAAUGGGCGAAAGCCUGAUGCAGCAACGCCGCGUGAGCGAUGAAGGCCUUCGGGUCGUAAAGCUCUGUCCUCAAGGAAGAUAAUGACGGUACUUGAGGAGGAAGCCCCGGCUAACUACGUGCCAGCAGCCGCGGUAAUACGUAGGGGGCUAGCGUUAUCCGGAAUUACUGGGCGUAAAGGGUGCGUAGGCGGUCUUUCAAGUCAGAAGUGAAAGGCUACGGCUCAACCGUAGUAAGCUUUUGAAACUGUAAGACUUGAGUGCAGGAGAGGAGAGUGGAAUUCCUAGUGUAGCGGUGAAAUGCGUAGAUAUUAGGAGGAACACCAGUUGCGAAGGCG
rnacentral:rRNA from 1 species